AUUGAACGCUGGCGGCAUGCCUUACACAUGCAAGUCGAACGGUAACAGGUCUUCGGAUGCUGACGAGUGGCGAACGGGUGAGUAAUACAUCGGAACGUGCCUAGUAGUGGGGGAUAACUACUCGAAAGAGUGGCUAAUACCGCAUGAGAUCUACGGAUGAAAGCAGGGGAUCGCAAGACCUUGUGCUACUAGAGCGGCCGAUGGCAGAUUAGGUAGUUGGUGGGAUAAAAGCUUACCAAGCCGACGAUCUGUAGCUGGUCUGAGAGGACGAUCAGCCACACUGGGACUGAGACACAGCCCAGACUCCUACGGGAGGCAGCAGUGGGGAAUUUUGGACAAUGGGCGCAAGCCUGAUCCAGCAAUGCCGCGUGCAGGAUGAAGGCCUUCGGGUUGUAAACUGCUUUUGUACGGAACGAAAAUCCCUGGGUUAAUACCCUGGGGUCAUGACGGUACCGUAAGAAUAGCACCGGCUAACUACGUGCCAGCCGCCGCCGUAAAAC
rnacentral:rRNA from 1 species